rnacentral:rRNA from 1 species
UGGGGAAUUUUCCGCAAUGGGCGAAAGCCUGACGGAGCAAUACCGCGUGAGGGAGGAAGGCUUUUGGGUUGUAAACCUCUUUUCUCAAGGCAGAACAUCUGACGGUACUUGAGGAAUCAGCAUCGGCUAACUCCGUGCCAGCAGCCGCGGUAAUACGGAGGAUGCAAGCGUUAUCCGGAAUGAUUGGGCGUAAAGCGUCUGCAGGUGGCUCUGCAAGUCUGCUGUUAAAGAGUGGAGCUCAACUCCAUAAGGGCAGUGGAAACUGCGUGCCUAGAGGACGUUCGGGGUAGAGGGAAUUCCUGGUGUAGCGGUGAAAUGCGUAGAUAUCAGGAAGAACACCGGUGGCGACAGCGCUCUACUAGGCCGUAACUGACACUGAGAGACGAAAGCUAAGGGAGCGAAUGGGAUUAGAUACCCGCGUAGUCC